UACGUAGGGUGCAAGCGUUGUCCGGAAUUAUUGGGCGUAAAGAGCUCGUAGGCGGUCUGUCGCGUCUGCUGUGAAAACUCAGGGCUUAACCCUGAGCCUGCUUCCGAUACGGGCAGACUAGAGGUAUGCAGGGGAGAACGGAAUUCCUGGUGUAGCGGUGGAAUGCGCAGAUAUCAGGAGGAACACCAAUGGCGAAGGCAGCUUGCUGGGACGGUACUGACGCUGAGACGCGAAAGCGUGGGGAGCAAACAGG
rnacentral:rRNA from 1 species